AGAGUUUGAUCCUGGCUCAGGAUGAACGCUGGCGGCGUGCUUAACACAUGCAAGUCGAGCGAAGCACUCAGAUUACUUCGGUUUGAAGAGUGACUGAGCGGCGGACGGGUGAGUAACGCGUGGGUAACCUGCCUCAUACAGGGGGAUAACAGUUAGAAAUGACUGCUAAUACCGCAUAAGACCACAGCACCGCAUGGUGCAGGGGUAAAAACUCCGGUGGUAUGAGAUGGACCCGCGUCUGAUUAGCUAGUUGGUGAGGUAACGGCUCACCAAGGCGACGAUCAGUAGCCGACCUGAGAGGGUGACCGGCCACAUUGGGACUGAGACACGGCCCAAACUCCUACGGGAGGCAGCAGUGGGGAAUAUUGCACAAUGGGCGAAAGCCUGAUGCAGCGACGCCGCGUGAAGGAUGAAGUAUUUCGGUAUGUAAACUUCUAUCAGCAGGGAAGAAAAUGACGGUACCUGACUAAGAAGCCCCGGCUAACUACGUGCCAGCAGCCGCGGUAAUACGUAGGGGGCAAGCGUUAUCCGGAUUUACUGGGUGUAAAGGGAGCGUAGACGGCUUUGCAAGUCUGAAGUGAAAGGCAUGGGCUCAACCUGUGGACUGCUUUGGAAACUGUAGAGCUAGAAUGUCGGAGAGGCAAGCGGAAUUCCUGGUGUAGCGGUGAAAUGCGUAGAUAUUAGGAGGAACACCAGUGGCGAAGGCGGCUUGCUGGACGAUGAUUGACGUUGAGGCUCGAAAGCGUGGGGAGCAAACAGGAUUAGAUACCCUGGUAGUCCACGCCGUAAACGAUGAUACUAGGGGUCGG
rnacentral:rRNA from 1 species